rnacentral:sRNA from 1 species
GCGGAGGAAAAGAAACCAACAGGGAUUGCCUUAGUAACGGCGAGUGAAGCGGCAACAGCUCAAAUUUGAAAGCUGGCCCCCCCGGGGGUCCGCGUUGUAAUUUGUAGAGGAUGAUUCGGCGAGGGCUCCCGCCUAAGUCCCCUGGAACGGGGCGUCAUAGAGGGUGAGAAUCCCGUAUGCGGUGGGCUGCCUUAGCCAUGUGAAUCUCCUUCGACGAGUCGAGUUGUUUGGGAAUGCAGCUCUAAAUGGGAGGUAAAUUUCUUCUAAAGCUAAAUACCGGCCAGAGACCGAUAGCGCACAAGUAGAGUGAUCGAAAGAUGAAAAGCACUUUGGAAAGAGAGUUAAAAAGUACGUGAAAUUGUUGAAAGGGAAGCGCUUGCAGCCAGACUUGUCCGCAGUUGCUCAGCCGGUCUCCUGACCGGCGCACUCUUCUGCGGCCAGGCCAGCAUCAGUUCGGGCGGUCGGAUAAAGGCCCCGGGAACGUAGCUCCUCUCGGGGAGUGUUAUAGCCCGGGGUGGAAUGCGGCCAGCCUGGACUGAGGAUCUCGCUUCGGCUAGGAUGCUGGCGUAAUGGCUGUAAGCGGCCCGUCUUGAAACACGGACCAAGGAGUCUAACAUCUAUGCGAGUGUUUGGGUGUCAAACCCAUGCGCGUAAUGAAAGUGAACGGAGGUGGGAACCCUCGCGGGUGCACCAUCGACCGAUCCUGAUGUCUUCGGAUGGAUUUGAGUAAGAGCAUAGCUGUUGGGACCCGAAAGAUGGUGAACUAUGCCUGAAUAGGGUGAAGCCAGAGGAAACUCUGGUGGAGGCUCGCAGCGGUUCUGACGUGCAAAUCGAUCGUCAAAUUUGGGUAUAGGGGCGAAAGACUAAUCGAACCAUCGACUACUAGGUGGUUAAGAGGUGGCUGAAAGUGCCCACCUAGUCCCCCCGUCCUCGGACGGGGGGGCGACAUCGCCAAAUUGCGGGGACUCCCUUAGAGCCUCUACUACCGCGGCCGGCCGAAAGGCGCGGUGCAGCACCGGGUUAAUUGCCUAGGGUACGGUAAAAAGGUAGAGGAUUGGGAAAUCCGCAGCCAAGCGCCUAAGUCCCGCGGGAUACGGCGAAGGUUCAGAGACUAGAUGGCGGUGGGUCCGGCCCGAGGGCCGGGCCUAAGGUAUAGUC